rnacentral:rRNA from 1 species
UACGGGGGGGGCAAGCGUUGUUCGGAAUUACUGGGCGUAAAGGGCUCGUAGGUGGCCAACUAAGUCAGACGUGAAAUCCCUCGGCUUAACCGGGGAACUGCGUCUGAUACUGGAUGGCUUGAGUUCGGGAGAGGGAUGCGGAAUUCCAGGUGUAGCGGUGAAAUGCGUAGAUAUCUGGAGGAACACCGGUGGCGAAGGCGGCAUCCUGGACCGGCAUUGACGCUGAGGCGCGAAAGCCAGGGGAGCAAACGGG